GAUGAACGCUGGCGGCGUGCCUAAUACAUGCAAGUCGAGCGAACUGAUUAGGAGCUUGCUUCUAAGACGUUAGCGGCGGACGGGUGAGUAACACGUGGGCAACCUGCCUGUAAGACUGGGAUAACUUCGGGAAACCGAAGCUAAUACCGGAUAGGAUCUUCUCCUUCAUGGGAGAUGAUUGAAAGAUGGUUUCGGCUAUCACUUACAGAUGGGCCCGCGGUGCAUUAGCUAGUUGGUGAGGUAACGGCUCACCAAGGCAACGAUGCAUAGCCGACCUGAGAGGGUGAUCGGCCACACUGGGACUGAGACACGGCCCAGACUCCUACGGGAGGCAGCAGUAGGGAAUCUUCCGCAAUGGACGAAAGUCUGACGGAGCAACGCCGCGUGAGUGAUGAAGGCUUUCGGGUCGUAAAACUCUGUUGUUAGGGAAGAACAAGUACAAGAGUAACUGCUUGUACCUUGACGGUACCUAACCAGAAAGCCACGGCUAACUACGUGCCAGCAGCCGCCGCAGUAA
rnacentral:rRNA from 1 species